rnacentral:rRNA from 1 species
AACAACAUGUAGAUAUAUGUUGCUUCUCCUGCUCAAUGGAAUCUAAAUAGCCGCAGUACUUUGACUGUGCAAAGGUAGCAUAAUCAGUUGGCCCAUAAUUGGGGUCUUGUAUGAAUGGAUGCAUGGAUAAGAUCUGUCUAUAUUGUAUAUGUUAGAAAUUUAUAAGUAAGUGAAAAUGCUUACAUCAUAUGAAAGACGAGAAGACCCUAGAAAUUUUUUACACUAUGUUAAUUUAACUAUUUUGUUGGGGCGACAGAAUAACAAAUAACUUGUUUUAUGCGUGUAAGAAUUUUUUAAGAUGUAAAACAAAAUUACUCUAGGGAUAACAGCAUAAUUUUUAAUAGUUUGUGACCUCGAUGUUGGACUAGGGAGAGUAGUGCUCAGAAGGUGCUACUUCAGGUUCUGUUCGAACAACCGCACCCUACAUG